rnacentral:rRNA from 1 species
UACAGAGGUCCCAAGCGUUGUUCGGAUUCACUGGGCGUAAAGGGUGCGUAGGUGGUGAGGUAAGUUUGAUGUGAAAUCUCCGGGCUCAACCCGGAAAUGGCAUUGAAUACUAUCUCGCUAGAGAGUCGGAGGGGGGACGUGGAAUACUUGGUGUAGCAGUGAAAUGCGUAGAUAUCAAGUGGAACACCAGUGGCGAAGGCGAGUCCCUGGACGACUUCUGACACUGAGGCACGAAAGCUAGGGGAGCAAACAGG